UGAGGAAUAUUGGGCAAUGCCCGCAAGGGUGACCCAGCAACGCCGCGUGGAGGAUGAAUGUCGUAAGAUUGUAAACUCCUGUUAGAGGGGAAGAAUAGUACCGGUUGGACCGGUAUAUGACUGUACCCUCAGAGAAAGCCCCGGCUAACUACGUGCCAGCAGCCGCGGUAAUACGUAGGGGGCGAGCGUUGUCCGGAUUUACUGGGUGUAAAGGGCGCGCAGGCGGGAUAAAAAGUCAGUGGUGAAAUCCUACAGCUUAACUGUAGAACUGCCUUUGAUACUUUGAUUCUUGAGUUCGGGAGAGAGAGACGGAAUUCCAGGUGUAGUGGUGAAAUACGUAGAUAUCUGGAAGAACACCAGUUGCGAAGGCGGUCUCUUGGUCCGACACUGACGCUGAGGCGCGAAAGCGUGGGGAGCAAACA
rnacentral:rRNA from 1 species